rnacentral:rRNA from 1 species
UGUCCAGACUCCUACGGGAGGCAGCAGUGGGGAAUAUUGCACAAUGGGGGGAACCCUGAUGCAGCGACGCCGCGUGGGUGAAGGAGCACCUCGGUGCGUAAACCCCUAUCGGCAGGGAAGAAACGGACGGUACCUGACUAAGAAGCCCCGGCUAACUACGUGCCAGCAGCCGCGGUAAUACGUAGGGGGCAAGCGUUAUCCGGAUUUACUGGGUGUAAAGGGGGCGCAGACGGCAGCGCAAGCCAGGAGUGAAAGCCCGGGGCCCAACCCCGGGACUGCUCUUGGAACUGCGCGGCUGGAGUGCAGGAGGGGCAGGCGGAAUUCCUGGUGUAGCGGUGAAAUGCGUAGAUAUCAGGAGGAACACCGGUGGCGAAGGCGGCCUGCUGGACUGCGACUGACGUUGAGGCCCGAAAGCGUGGGGAGCAAACAGGAUUAGAUAACCUUGUAA